GGAAAGUCCGACGGUACAGGGUGAUAGUCCCGUACACGAAAAUGCACAUGCUGUGAACUCGAAGAGUAGGGCGGGACACGUGGUAUCCUGUCUGAAUAUGGGGGGACCAUCCUCCAAGGCUAAAUACUCCUGACUGACCGAUAGUGAACCAGUACCGUGAGGGAAAGGCGAAAAGAACCCCGGCGAGGGGAGUGAAAAAGAACCUGAAACCGUGUACGUACAAGCAGUGGGAGCCUCUUUAUGGGGUGACUGCGUACCUUUUGUAUAAUGGGUCAGCGACUUAUAUUCUGUAGCAAGGUUAACCGUAUAGGGGAGCCGAAGGGAAACCGAGUCUUAACUGGGCGUUAAGUUGCAGGGUAUAGACCCGAAACCCGGUGAUCUAGCCAUGGGCAGGUUGAAGGUUGGGUAACACUAACUGGAGGACCGAACCGACUAAUGUUGAAAAAUUAGCGGAUGACCUGUGGCUGGGGGUGAAAGGCCAAUCAAACCGGGAGAUAGCUGGUUCUCCCCGAAAGCUAUUUAGGUAGCGCCUCGUGAACUCAUCUUCGGGGGUAGAGCACUGUUUCGGCUAGGGGGCCAUCCCGGCUUACCAACCCGAUGCAAACUACGAAUACCGAAGAAUGUUAUCACGGGAGACACACGGCGGGUGCUAACGUCCGUCGUGAAGAGGGAAACAACCCAGACCGCCAGCUAAGGUCCCAAAGUCAUGGUUAAGUGGGAAACGAUGUGGGAAGGCACAGACAGCCAGGAUGUUGGCUUAGAAGCAGCCAUCAUUUAAAGAAAGCGUAAUAGCUCACUGGUCGAGUCGGCCUGCGCGGAAGAUGUAACGGGGCUAAACCAUG
rnacentral:rRNA from 2 species